AGUGAACGCUGGCGGUAGGCCUAACACAUGCAAGUCGAACGGCAGCACAGUAAGAGCUUGCUCUUACGGGUGGCGAGUGGCGGACGGGUGAGGAAUACAUCGGAAUCUACUUUUUCGUGGGGGAUAACGUAGGGAAACUUACGCUAAUACCGCAUACGACCUACGGGUGAAAGCAGGGGAUCUUCGGACCUUGCGCGGAUGAAUGAGCCGAUGUCGGAUUAGCUGGUUGGCGGGGUAAAGGCCCACCAAGGCGACGAUCCGUAGCUGGUCUGAGGGGAUGGUCAGCCACACUGGAACUGAGACACGGUCCAGACUCCUACGGGAGGCAGCAGUGGGGAAUAUUGGACAAUGGGCGCAAGCCUGGUCCAGCCAUACCGCGUGGGUGAAGAAGGCCUUCGGGUUGUAAAGCCCUUUUGUUGGGAAAGAAAAGCAGCAGGUUAAUACCCCGCUGUUCUGACGGUACCCAAAGAAUAAGCACCGGCUAACUUCGUG
rnacentral:rRNA from 1 species